CAGCCGCCGCGGGAAUACGUAGGGUGCAAGCGUUAAUCGGAAUUACUGGGCGUAAAGCGUGCGCAGGCGGCUAUGCAAGACAGAUGUGAAAUCCCCGGGCUCAACCUGGGAACUGCAUUUGUGACUGCAUGGCUAGAGUACGGUAGAGGGGGAUGGAAUUCCGCGUGUAGCAGUGAAAUGCGUAGAUAUGCGGAGGAACACCGAUGGCGAAGGCAAUCCCCUGGACCUGUACUGACGCUCAUGCACGAAAGCGUGGGGAGCAAACAGGAUUAGAUACCCGGGUAGUCCCUGUCUCUUAUAC
rnacentral:rRNA from 1 species